CCAUGGAUCUUGGAGACAGUGCAGAGGACAGUCCUUUCUUUUUAUAAGAGGGCUAAUGUUGAGUGGGCUUGCCCCUUGACAUGCACACUCAAGGGAGAUCCAGCAAUUGGUGAUGGCGUGACUCUCCAUCUCUUUGCAACCAUCAUGUCCAAACUUCAGUAUGGUUUUGAGAUGAAUUUUGUGGGCCAUGCCUUGGAGGACUCAGCCCAGCUAUCCUGCAUGUGCUCUUUGGUGGAUCCCCAGAAGAAGCCAUAAUA